rnacentral:lncRNA from 1 species
AGAACGCAGUGAUUAAAGGGCCCAUAUCAUGCAAAAUCCACUUUUUAGACAUUUUGGAGCGUUCCUAUGACUCUAUGGGUCACAUAUACACACACUGAGCACGGUAGAAAUGCAUUUCCUGCUUUUUUCACAUUUUGAAAACGUAAAUUUUCUUAUCCAAUGAAAACAGCCACGACCUACUCCGAGGCCGUUCCCCAGUUCUCGUCACACUGGUUGAAAGUUCUCCUUGCAAAUCCUGAACCACCACCCCCACAAUGAUCCCGAACCAAAACUGGACUUCCGCCAUUUCCCCCCUCUCACUCACCGUGAACAGACCAGCACGGAAGCGCCCAAGUCCUCCCAUAGAAAUAGUUCGGUUCUUGGGUGUUCUAACCAACACCAAAGUCUAUUCAUUUUACCAGGGAACAACAAGGUGCGUACAAUGCUGGAUUUGUUUCACGGCUCCUGUUGGAAAAAAAGGACCUAUUCCUAAAGUCCGUCAUCCACUCACUGAAGAGGGCAGAUCCCAGUUGCCCACAUGCAAGGAGGCUGUCAAACAGAGAAAUCACUGCAGACUGUUGGUACACAGACAUCUGCUGCCCAGCUCAGGAGUAAAGGUAUGUAAGUUUGUAUGUACCAACAGUAAGAUAGGUAAUAGAAGAUUUUAAUUGGUAUAUACUGUUUAGAUUUUAUAUUUGAAUUGUAACAACUGUUUAUCUGUUGUUUUAGCACAGACAGGCCUGUCCUCUUGUUUGGUUUAAUUUUUUGUCUGGUAUUGUGUGUUCUUACAUUAGAGAAGGUUUUGACCUACAUAAUAAUUAACAUUUCACUAAUCUACAAUUCUGAUUGCACUACCUUUUGUUUUGAUGAGGUGAUGGUGAGGACAGCCACAGCUUCCAUCUGGUAGAGGACUGCUUCCGCUCAGUCUUCCAAAUAGUGAUGAGAACAAGGAUCACCACAUCUCCCUGUUUACCCUACUUUCAUGCAUUUCGUCUGCAAGGCCCUGCAAAAGCUUCUCCUUCGUCCUCAAACCCCCAGACUUCUUAAUUAACUCAGUAACCUAUACAUUGCACAUUGGAGUGUGAAGGUAACAGUUUGUUCUAGCUUUGGCGUAGUGGUGUAUUUUUUUGGUUUACAAUAAAGUUGGCUUUAACUAUUAUGUAUUUCA